CUUUAAAUAUUCCAAUAAAAAAGAACAAAGGGACCUUAAAGAGCCAAAGACUAAUAGCCUUUUCCUCUAAGGACCCUUGCCACACCUGGGAAGAAGUUCCACCUGCCUGUGUGAACAGAUAAGGCUGUUGGAAAACCAGCCAAUCUGAACUCCCUUGGUCAGACAUGAGCAGCUUGGGAUGGUGGGAAGGGUUUCUCAGAGAGGGCUUUGCUGUCUGCUUCCUCAAGUACCAACUCAGAACCUAGAGGGGAGAGUGAGGAGUGAAUGCAAUGAUGACCAGUAUCCUUACUUAGAGGAAGAAAUCUUGGCCAAAAACUUGUUUUUAGGUCAUCUCUAAGUCUACCUACUCUGGCCAAGCUCUCCGUAUAGGUGGCCAAGAUCUCCGUAUAGAUUUCCUGUACCAGGGCUAUGGAUUUCAGAUUGCCUGUGGCCAAAGACUUCUGGAUGGUGUGACACAAGGGCUUGGAUCACCCAAAGGUGGAGAGCUAAAUGGAAAAUAAUAGGAUGGUCUAAUGACAUGGAAACUGAGAAUUGAAGCUACGAAGAUGAAGAUGAAAGAAGUGAUUCAAUUGUGCUAACUACAGAGGGGAACCCAGAUGGAUGCAAGAGUGCAGAAAUACAGGCUAGCAGCAACUGGAGUGAGAAGGAUUUAUGUUUCCUCUAGAGAACGGAUAAAUUCCUCUGUGCUGAGUGCUCUCUCAGUGGGAUUCUGCUAAGAGAAAAGGGCUUGCAGUUAAAGGAACUGCUUGCCUGCAGAGAGGCAAGGGGAGGCUUUUUCAGUGACCUAUCAACUCAGAGUUUUCCACUUCAACAGCUGGAGUGAUUUGUUCAGACUGAGAGAUUACCUGGGAUUAAAGCAAAUAAAAGCAACUAUCUAAAACCA